rnacentral:rRNA from 1 species
UACAGAGGGUGCAAGCGUUAAUCGGAAUUACUGGGCGUAAAGCGUGCGUAGGUGGCGUGUUAAGUGUGAUGUUAAAUCGUGUGGCUCAACCAUAUCGAUGUGUCGCAUACUGGCAUGCUAGAGGACAGCAGAGGCAAGUGGAAUUUGUAGUGUAGCAGUGAAAUGCGUAGAUAUUACAAGGAACACCAAUGGCGAAGGCAGCUUGCUGGGCUACUCCUGACACUGAGGUACGAAAGCGUGGGGAGCGAACAGG